AUCUUAUAAAGAGCGAUGGAGGGACUAGCCCAAUGAAAUCGCACCAACCUAUUAAAUUAGGUGGUAAUGCUAGAUUCUAUAAGAU
rnacentral:ncRNA from 2 species